UUCAGUUUCCACCUACCAAAUCUACUCAUAAAGCUUUGGUCAGCCCAAGGCUAUAGUACAAGACACUUGCCCAAGGUGCCAUGCAGUGGGACUGAACCUGGAAUCAUGUGAUUGGGAAGCAAGCUUACUAAUCACACAGCCACUUACUGGAUAAAAUGUUGGACA